CCGCGUGAGUGAUGAAGGGUUUCGGCUCGUAAAACUCUGUUAUUAGGGAAGAACAACGUGUAAGUAACUGUGCACGUCUUGACGGUACCUAAUCAGAAAGCCACGGCUAACUACGUGCCAGCAGCCGCGG
rnacentral:rRNA from 1 species